ACCCUUGACAUGCCUGGAAUCCUGCAGAGAUGUGGGAGUGCUCGAAAGAGAGCCAGGACACAGGUGCUGCAUGGCCGUCGUCAGCUCGUGUCGUGAGAUGUUGGGUUAAGUCCCGCAACGAGCGCAACCCUUAUCAUUAGUUGCUACGCAAGGGCACUCUAAUGAGACUGCCGGUGACAAACCGGAGGAAGGUGGGGAUGACGUCAGGUCCUCAUGGCCCUUAUGGGUAGGGCUACACACGUCAUACAAUGGCCGGUACAGAGGGCUGCCAACCCGCGAGGGGGAGCUAAUCUCAGAAAACCGGUCGUAGUCCGGAUCGCAGUCUGCAACUCGGCUGCGUGAAGUCGGAAUCGCUAGUAAUCGCGGAUCAGCUUGCCGCGGUGAAUACGUUCCCGGGUCUUGUACACACCGCCCGUCACACCAUGGGAGCGGGU
rnacentral:rRNA from 1 species